rnacentral:rRNA from 1 species
CCUACGGGUUGCAGCAGUGGGGAAUCUUGCGCAAUGGGCGAAAGCCUGACGCAGCAACGCCGCGUGUGUGAAGAAGGCUUUCGGGUCGUAAAGCACUGUCGGGAGGGAAGAGUGCCUGGGCUAGACCCAGGAGAGACGGUACCUCCCAAGGAAGCACCGGCUAACUCCGUGCCAGCAGCCGCGGUAAUACGGAGGGUGCAAGCGUUAUUCGGAAUCAUUGGGCGUAAAGCGCGCGCAGGCGGCCAAACAAGUCUGACGUGAAAUCCCGGGGCUCAACCUCGGAACUGCGUUGGAAACUGUAUGGCUUGAGUUUGGGAGAGGUUCGUGGAAUUCCAGGUGUAGGGGUGAAAUCCGUAGAGAUCUGGAGGAACACCAGUGGCGAAGGCGACGAACUGGACCAAUACUGACGCUGAGGCGCGAAAGCGUGGGGAGCGAACAGGAUUAGAUACCCUCGUAGUC